rnacentral:tRNA from 1 species
UGUGGGUUGUUGGCGGUUAUAGUAAAAAUUAGGCUCAUAACCUGAAGGUCGUAGGUUCAAAUCCUGCCCCCGCAACCA